UACAGAGACUGCGAGCGUUAUUUGGAUUCACUGGGCGUAAAGGGUGCGCAGGCGGCCGAGUGUGUGAGGCGUGAAAGCCCGGGGCUUAACCCCGGAAUUGCACCUCAAACUACACGGCUAGAGCAUUGGAGAGGGUAGCAGAAUUCACGGUGUAGCAGUGAAAUGCGUAGAUAUCGUGAGGAAUACCAGAGGCGAAGGCGGCUACCUGGACAAUUGCUGACGCUCAGGCACGAAAGCGUGGGGAGCAAAAGGG
rnacentral:rRNA from 1 species